rnacentral:lncRNA from 10 species
UUUGUUGGUACUAGAAGUGGUCCCAGUAAACAGACUCCCAGAUAAGAUUCUAGAAUGAAAUUACUCUCUUGUUUGUGUGUGAACACAUCAUGACCUCCUUGAAGACAGAAAAUGAGACCUUAGUAAUGCGGGCAUGUAACGCAUCACUUGUGGUUGCUUGGGGCUAAAUAUAUGUUAAAAUAAAAAUUUUAGGGAACCAAAUAGUUUCUAACUUGCUACACUUGCCCAGUAAGGAAGUAAUGAUGAUUACGAAGAAUAUGGAGUGUAAUAACUAUUUUUGAUGGCACUGUAAAGUUUAUGAGGAAAAAUAUUUUAGGAAAAAAGUCUUGUGUUUUUAGAGACCCAUCUAUGAGCAUCAGAAAUAAACACUGGCAAUCUGAGAGUGUGUCUAUGCUGGACAAGCUAAGCUUCAAAAUGCCUAAAGCAUGCUUACUUCUUUUCUAAGCACAGUAGUUUAUUUCAUAGGUCACCAUAUGCUAUCAUCAACCUGCUAGGAAUUUGAACUGGAGCUUUGGGGAGAUAAUCAGUUAGUUAUUAGCUGAGGCUUAAACCAAAAGAUACUCAGAAAAAGAGAGUCUUCAUAAUAAUGAAAAACUAGAGUUGGGAUUCAUACAUUCUCAAAACAGUAAAACUCAUCGCUAGCUCAUGAGUGACUGUCUACUUUCUCUUUCCAUAAAACUUGAUCAUUGCAAGUUCAUGCUUUUUUGGUAAUGACUCGUAAUGAAAUUUCUUCUGAUUUCACAUGUGGAGUAGCUGAGUGUUGGAUCCCUUAUCUUCAUUUGCAUGGGCCACCAUUGUCCCAUUAAACCUUUUUCUAUGUACUUUUAUGAUUUUUACUACAAAAUCAAAUCAUAUGACAGAAAUGAUAUCCCAAUUGUUGGA